rnacentral:misc_RNA from 1 species
AAAAAAAAAAAAAUGGAGACUAUCUCUCAGCAAAAUGGCAGGGAAAAAAAAGGAAGGGAGGGGAGGGGGUUAAGAGGAUCAUGUACUAAGAAUGCCCUUUACUAAAGUAGUAAUUUAAGAGAUACAACUAUAUUCUUUAAUUCAAAAAUUAAUUUAACAUAGAAACACUACAAAUUGAUAGAUCCAUCAGUUGAUUCAGUUUUAGGCUAUUUUGUCUACGGGUAAAGAGACUCCCACAAAGAAUCAUAUUGAUGGAAGGGAGGUGAUAGCAAAUAGAAAGCGUGCUAUAACAAAAUAAUUUUUUUUAAUCAAUUUAAAAUCCAUCAAAAUUAUUUACCUAGUUAGAGACUUGAGAUUACCAGUCCCAAAUUGAUUAAAAUCGAAAUCAGAGUCAAUCAAAAUCAAGCAACAAUCAAUGAUCUAUAAAAUCAUCACCUGGAGAGGAGAUGUGGAGGGAGGCAACAACAGAUGAGCAAGCAAUAAGGAUGAAAGAAGGGAGGUGACACUCCAAUAGCAAACAAAAUACUAGACAAAGGGAGGCAAUGACGACCAAAAGAUGAGAGGCAAAAAGGGAAGAGGCAACAAAUAAGAGACCAGCAAAGGGAAGGGAAGGUUCAAUUUGGUAUCCUAGAAAUGACAUUUAGAGGAGGGUUUCAAAUUUUUAUUUCAAUUUGGCUUUUGGCAUGCUACAAACAAAAGAGUUGAAAAUCAUUGCUAUCUUAAAAGCCUAAAACAACAAUGUAUAAUUAUUUUUGGUUUGAUUCAAUUACUUUGAUUUUUGAAUAAUAAAACAAAUCCAAAAUAAAAUAAUAAAAAAUAGAGAAUUUAAAAAUGAACCAAACCGAAAAACCGAAUUAAGCCAGUUCAGUUUGGUUAUUUAGCUAUUGUGCUCAUCCCUAAAUAUAUACACAAACUACAAUCUUAAAGAAUACAAAUAUUAUAAAUUUGAAGAAUCCUUUUGGCAAAUCAUAAUUUAAUUAUAAAUUAUAGGUUCACAUUUACAUCUCUAGUAAUAGUAGAAAUAAAAUCAAAAUUGCAAGUUUUCACAAUUCAGUAGCCAAUCAAGACUCAACUAAAACAAUAUUUAGGAAAUUUAUAACUUUUGAUGCCCUCUUUUGCCCAAUGGAUGUUUUGUACACCUAUACUUCUAUGCAUAUUAGACAUAAAAAAGAAAAAUUGAAAGCAAGCUUUAGUUCAACAGUAAAGUUGCUCCAUUAUAAUAGAAAAGGUCAUGGCUUCGAUUCAUGGAAACAACCUUUAGGUCAUGGGUUCAAAAGGUUGGAUAUGAUUAGAAACUAUCAAGUAUAAACUAUACAUGAAGACAACAACAAGGUAAAAAAAAUUCAUGAUUUCUUUCUUUCGACAAAGAAGAGGAGAUUGAAUCAUUUAACAGAAUAAUUCUUAUGGUCUUAAUUCUGAAAGUUAAAGGCAGCCUAUUUAUACAAUAAUUCUAAAAUAUGAAUAUUCUAAACUAGGAAAUUAAAAUAUGCAAAAAUAUAAAUGCCUAUUUUACAACCUUAAUUAGGAAACCCAAUUAGGAAAUAUAUACAAUAAAGGAAAAAAUCUUAAAUAGAAAGAAUAUUACCAACAUUCCCCCUCAAGAUGGUGCAUAGAUAUCUCGCAUGCCCUUCUUGCAAACUAAACCAUGGAAAU